GCCUGAUUCAUGAGGCAUGCCUGUUUUGCCUCCAUAGUAUUCAUUGAAAAUGGCACGGUUCCAGUAGAAGAAACAGAAAGUAAAAAUGAACCUUAACUCCAGCUUCUGUGAUCAGCGAUAGGAAUGAACAGCGUGGCUGGCGUUCAUGUCUCCGCACAGAUGCCCCUUAAGCUCCCUGGGACUGUUGACAAGAGCACUCACAAUGGUUAAACUGCCACAGCUGACUGAAGCCCGUGAGGACAGUCCAACACGUCAGCCUUAGGACUCAGAAGGACAGGUGGCUCAAACAGGUUUUCAGGAGUCUCCCUCCUGCCCGAGAGGAGGUAAGUGACGGCACAAACCUCCCUACCUGCGGAGACUGACACCCUUGAGCUACCUAAACCUCCCACCAUGGGUCAAGUUCAAUACAGAAAU
rnacentral:lncRNA from 1 species